rnacentral:piRNA from 1 species
UAUCAACGCAAGAAAAAUAUG